GGUACCUUGGCCGAGUGGUUAGGCGCCGGUCUGCAAAACCGUCGACGGCGGUUCGAAUCCGCCAGGUACCU
rnacentral:tRNA from 3 species